AAAUUACUUCGUAUUAUUUCUACAAUCUCUCUCCGUACAGAGACAAGCAUGGUUUGCCUCUCUUCUCUCUCUCUUCCUGAGGUUGACUUUACAGGGAUUUGACGCCCUUCAUCUGAUAAUACCAAGGGCAGAUGUUGAGAUCUUACUUCUUAGAUGUUGAUGAACAGCUGCAAAGAUGAGCAUAAGUAGGCUACUUUCUUGCAGGUUCUGUUGACCAGGCUAUCAGAUCCACACUUGACAAAUUAAGCUUGCUGUUUCACAUGAGUUCUUAUUAAACUCCAGACUUUCAAGCUAGUGGAGAAGGGUUUCCCUUUCGAUUCUUCAUUGUCUUCUCUUUUUCAGGAUCCCUGGUGAGCACAUGUUUCUUAGAUAUGGUUGCGACUUUUUAUAAUGUCUAUUUUCUCCUCACUGUCCACUGGAGGUGAUGCAGUUGAUUUAUAGCAUAUUUAAUUGUCUUGUUCUGUGAGGAAUUGAGAGUUGAUUAGAUAAAAAAUGCUUUAAUGUUCCAGCAUAAUAGAUGGCUGAAUAUAAUGAAUUUCCUGGAA